AGCAGUAGCCACGGGAAAACGAAGGGUGCAAGCGUUAAUCGGAAUUACUGGGCGUAAAGCGUGCGUAGGCGGUGAGUUAAGUCUGCUGUGAAAUCCCCGGGCUCAACCUGGGAACUGCACUUGUGGCUGGCAAGCUAGAGUGUGAGAGAGGGUUGUGGAAUUCCCAGUGUAGAGGUGAAAUUCGUAGAUAUUGGGAAGAACACCGGUGGCGAAGGCGGCCAUCUGGGACAACACUGACGCUGAGGCACGAAAGCGUGGGGAGCAAACAGGAUUAGAUACCCCUGUAGUCCCUGUCUCUUAUAC
rnacentral:rRNA from 1 species